UGGGGAAUUUUGGACAAUGGGCGCAAGCCUGAUCCAGCAAUGCCGCGUGCAGGAUGAAGGCCUUCGGGUUGUAAACUGCUUUUGUACGGAGCGAAAAGGUCUGCCCUAAUACGGUGGGCUCAUGACGGUACCGUAAGAAUAAGCACCGGCUAACUACGUGCCAGCAGCCGCGGUAAUACGUAGGGUGCGAGCGUUAAUCGGAAUUACUGGGCGUAAAGCGUGCGCAGGCGGUUAUAUAAGACAGAUGUGAAAUCCCCGGGCUCAACCUGGGACCUGCAUUUGUGACUGUAUAGCUAGAGUACGGUAGAGGGGGGUGGAAUUCCACGUGUAGCAGUGAAAUGCGUAGAUAUGCGGAGGAACACCGAUGGCGAAGGCAAUCCCCUGGACCUGUACUGACGCUCAUGCACGAAAGCGUGGGGAGCAAACA
rnacentral:rRNA from 1 species